UGAGGAAUAUUGGUCAAUGGACGGAAGUCUGGAACCAGCCAAGUAGCGUGCAGGAUGACGGCCCUAUGGGUUGUAAACUGCUUUUGUAUGGGGAUAAAGUUAGGGACGUGUCCCUAUUUGCAGGUACCAUACGAAUAAGGACCGGCUAAUUCCGUGCCAGCAGCCGCGGUAAUACGGAAGGUCCAGGCGUUAUCCGGAUUUAUUGGGUUUAAAGGGAGCGUAGGCUGGAGAUUAAGUGUGUUGUGAAAUGUAGACGCUCAACGUCUGAAUUGCAGCGNNNACUGGCUUCCUUGAGUACGCACAACGUUGGCGGAAUUCGUCGUGUAGCGGUGAAAUGCUUAGAUAUGACGAGGAACUCCGAUUGCGAAGGCAGCUGACGGGAGCGCAACUGACGCUUAAGCUCGAAGGUGCGGGUAUCAAACAGGAUUAGAUACCCUGGUAGUCCGCACAGUAAACGAUGGAUGCCCGCUGUUGGUACCUGGUAUCAGCGGCUAAGCGAAAGCAUUAAGCAUCCCACCUGGGGAGUACGCCGGCAACGGUG
rnacentral:rRNA from 1 species